rnacentral:rRNA from 1 species
AGCGAACGUUGGCGGCGCGCCUAACACAUGCAAGUCGAACGCGAAAGGCACUACGGUGCUAAGUAGCGUGGCGCACGGGUGAGUAAUACGUGAGUAACCUACCCUCGAGCUCGGGAUAACAUCCCCAAAAGGAUGCUAAUACCGGAUAAGACCACGGCCUCCUCGGAGGCUGUGAGAAAAGGCGGGGACCCGAAAGGGCCUGCCACUUGAGGAUGGGCUCGCGGCCCAUCAUUGCUUGUUGGUGAGGUAACGGCUCACCAAGGCUAAGAAGGGUAGCUGGUCUGAGAGGAUGAACAGCCACACUGGAACGGAGACACGGUCCAGACUCCUGCGGGAGGCAGCAGUGGGGAAUCUUGCGCAAUGGGCGAAAGCCUGACGCAGCGACGCCGCGUGUGCGAUGAAGGCCUUUGGGUCGUAAAGCACUGUCGAGCGGAACGAAAGUCGGCGGCCGAUAAAGCCGCAGAUCUGACGGUACCGCUAAAGGAAGCACCGGCCAACUCUGUGCCAGCCGCCGCGGUAAAAC